AGCUUUGUGCAGUGGCAGUAUCGUAGUCAAUGAGGUUUAUCUGAGACGCGAUUAUUGCUAAUUAAAUGGAAAUACUAAUCAGCCUGAGGUAAUAACAAUAAUAUUUAUAGAAUCCGUACUACGUGCCAGGCAU
rnacentral:snRNA from 1 species